AUGAACGCUAGCUACAGGCUUAACACAUGCAAGUCGAGGGGCAGCAUGGUCUUAGCUUGCUAAGGCCGAUGGCGACCGGCGCACGGGUGAGUAACACGUAUCCAACCUGCCGUCUACUCUUGGACAGCCUUCUGAAAGGAAGAUUAAUACAAGAUGGCAUCAUGAGUCCGCAUGUUCACAUGAUUAAAGGUAUUCCGGUAGACGAUGGGGAUGCGUUCCAUUAGAUAGUAGGCGGGGUAACGGCCCACCUAGUCUUCGAUGGAUAGGGGUUCUGAGAGGAAGGUCCCCCACAUUGGAACUGAGACACGGUCCAAACUCCUACGGGAGGCAGCAGUGAGGAAUAUUGGUCAAUGGGCGAGAGCCUGAACCAGCCAAGUAGCGUGAAGGAUGACUGCCCUAUGGGUUGUAAACUUCUUUUAUAAAGGAAUAAAGUCGGGUAUGGAUACCCGUUUGCAUGUACUUUAUGAAUAAGGAUCGGCUAACUCCGUGCCAGCAGCCGCGGUAAUACGGAGGAUCCGAGCGUUAUCCGGAUUUAUUGGGUUUAAAGGGAGCGUAGAUGGAUGUUUAAGUCAGUUGUGAAAGUUUGCGGCUCAACCGUAAAAUUGCAGUUGAUACUGGAUAUCUUGAGUGCAGUUGAGGCAGGCGGAAUUCGUGGUGUAGCGGUGAAAUGCUUAGAUAUCACGAAGAACUCCGAUUGCGAAGGCAGCCUGCUAAGCUGCAACUGACAUUGAGGCUCGAAAGUGUGGGUAUCAAACAGGAUUAGAUACCCUGGUAGUCCACACGGUAAACGAUGAAUACUCGCUGUUUGCGAUAUACUGCAAGCGGCCAAGCGAAAGCGUUAAGUAUUCCACCUGGGGAGUACGCCGGCAACGGUGAAACUCAAAGGAAUUGACGGGGGCCCGCACAAGCGGAGGAACAUGUGGUUUAAUUCGAUGAUACGCGAGGAACCUUACCCGGGCUUGAAUUGCAGAGGAAGGAUUUGGAGACAAUGACGCCCUUCGGGGUCUCUGUGAAGGUGCUGCAUGGUUGUCGUCAGCUCGUGCCGUGAGGUGUCGGCUUAAGUGCCAUAACGAGCGCAACCCUUGUUGUCAGUUACUAACAGGUUCCGCUGAGGACUCUGACAAGACUGCCAUCGUAAGAUGUGAGGAAGGUGGGGAUGACGUCAAAUCAGCACGGCCCUUACGUCCGGGGCUACACACGUGUUACAAUGGGGGGUACAGAGGGCCGCUACCACGCGAGUGGAUGCCAAUCCACAAAACCUCUCUCAGUUCGGACUGGAGUCUGCAACCCGACUCCACGAAGCUGGAUUCGCUAGUAAUCGCGCAUCAGCCACGGCGCGGUGAAUACGUUCCCGGGCCUUGUACACACCGCCCGUCAAGCCAUGGGAGCCGGGGGUACCUGAAGUGCGUAACCGCGAGGAGCGCCCUAGGGUAAAACUGGUGACUGGGGCU
rnacentral:rRNA from 1 species